GCCGAUGGCGUGAGCGCCUGGUCCUCCACCACCGCACCUCCCCUUCCCACCUGCUCCCUCUCUCCCCUUUUUAUCCCUCCCCACAGCGCCAGAAACCCUAGCCCUCCUCUCCUUCCCCUCUCGCGCCGCCGCCCCCAUCUCCCUCUCUUUUCUUCUCUGUAACCACCGAACCCCCCCGCAAGUUCAUCGUCGUCGCCCGGACAUCUCCGUCACCCCCUCACUGCGCUGCCGCUACCAAUCGAUGCGCGUCGUCGUCCUCUACAUCCCUCUGCAAGGAAUCGCCCGGGGGCGCCCUAAAUCGUCGCCUCCAUCCUCGUUUCUUCCCCAGCACCGGCGGCCUUUUUGCUCGACUCCGGCCGCCACCGUCCUCCUCCGCCCUCCUCGUCACGUCCUACACAUCCCUGCAACCCGCCGACGGUGAAGCUCCGGCCACCUCCCGUGGGCGGCGCCGCCUCCUCUUCGUCCGCGCCGACAAGGCGCACCCGACGCCCCUUCCUCGCGUCCUGGGACGCAUCCAGUUGCCGGCGCGCGCGACGCCUCGCCGCGGUGACCGCCCCUCGCCCGGAACGCGCGCGGCAUCACACCGCAUCGAACAGCUUCUAUGCGUUCCAGCACGUUUCGCCACGCUGGCAGCCACGUGGCCGCGGGCCCCGUCCGUCAGCGGCUCCAGCUAGUCCCUUUCCGCAUCUUCCUGCGCCGCGUCAGCACUCCCUGGCCCGCGCGUCAGUCGCUCGGGCUAGCCAGUGCCUGGGUGAGAAACGUUUUCCCU